rnacentral:lncRNA from 1 species
UGUUUGGCAGCAAGAGUGACAUGAAGUUGUCGGGGUUCAAAUGCGGUGAUCGGGGAUCACUCGCGCGAAAAAAAAUCGAAGAAAUUCUGGGGUUCAAGAAAAGCAAAAAAAAAAAUCAAAAAGUUCUGGGGUUCAAGAACAGCAAAAAAAAAAAUCAAAAAGUUCUGGGGUUCAAGAAAAGCAAAAAAAAAUCAAAAAGUUCUGGGGUUCAGGAAAAGCAAAAAAAAAAAUUAAAAAAGUUUUGGGGGUUCAAGAAAAGAAAAAAUAAUAAUAAUUCCCAGCGGAGCGCAAAUUGUUCGUCUAUUCUUGGUAUUCAACCACUCUUCACUCUG